rnacentral:misc_RNA from 1 species
CUCCUCUUCAUGUGUGAAUGGAAGAAUAAGAAGAACAAGCUAAUUAACAUCUUCUGCCCGAUAAAUCUUUCUAGGUUUCUUCUGUAUUUUGCUACCGCUGUCCAUUUCUACCCGGUUCCGAUCAGCUAUGGAGUUCUUCCACAACGCCAAGGCCGUGCGUCUCCGUAGCCACCACAACAAGUACCUCCUAGCUGACGAAGAUGAGGAAUCUGUCUCCCAAGACCGAAACGGAUCCUCCAAGAGCACUAGAUGGACUGUGGAGUCCGUCCUUGGAUCCGACACCAUAAUCCGCCUUAAGUCUUG